GACGAACGCUGGCGGCGUGCUUAACACAUGCAAGUCGAACGAUGAAGCUGGAGCUUGCUCCGGUGGAUUAGUGGCGAACGGGUGAGUAACACGUGAGCAAUCUGCCCUUGACUCUGGGAUAACUGCGGGAAACUGUAGCUAAUACCGGAUACGAGAUUUGGAGGCAUCUCCGGAUCUGGAAAGAAUUUCGGUCAAGGAUGAGCUCGCGGCCUAUCAGCUUGUUGGUGAGGUAAUGGCUCACCAAGGCGACGACGGGUAGCCGGCCUGAGAGAGUGACCGGCCACACUGGACUGAGACACGGCCCAGACUCCUACGGGAGGCAGCAGUGGGGAAUAUUGCACAAUGGGCGCAAGCCUGAUGCAGCAACGCCGCGUGAGGGAUGACGGCCUUCGGGUUGUAAACCUCUUUUAGUAGGGAAGAAGCGAAAGUGACGGUACCUGCAGAAAAAGCACCGGCUAACUACGUGCCAGCCGCCGCAGUAA
rnacentral:rRNA from 1 species